CUCUGAUUAGGAACAUCAUGUUCCAAAGCAGAACAGAGCACAGUUGGGGCAGAGGGUCUCAGAUCUACAACACCUGAACACCUCCCCUGAGGAAGCCUCGAGUUCAGUGCUAGCUCUGCAGUCAACAUGAACCUAAAAUAUUACUACAGACAGGAAUAGUUCUGGAUCAAGAUUCUGAUCCUCUUUCCACUUUUUCAGACUCAUCAGAAGAGGUGUCUAAGAAGAUGCACAAAAAAAAAAUUAAGAGUGGAUUUGAAGCUUUCAUUUGGGAAUUCACAUCAGAGUUAUUCAUGGCAGCGGUCCCCAAGCUUUUUGGCAACAGGGACCAGUUACAUGGAAGACCAUUUUUCCA
rnacentral:lncRNA from 1 species